GAACAAGCAUCAAAAAUGCCUCCCGCACUUUGUCUCUGCUAAUGACAUGUCCAUUGCUUGGGCUAGGAGCAGAAGUAGGAGUGAGAGAUGGAGGCAGAUUCGGAGGAGGAAAUGGCUGAAGCAAAGGAGCUCCGUAAUGGCAUUGAAGAUUCCCAGGGGAAUGAAGUGGAGGAGCAGUAGGCACAGAUGAAGAGACAGGAGGUAUCAGCGGAGAAGAGGAAGGAGGAGGACCAAAGAAUGAUGAUGGCU
rnacentral:misc_RNA from 1 species